GAUGAACGCUGGCGGCAGGCUUAACACAUGCAAGUCGAGCGGAAACGCCAUCGAAAGCUUGCUUUUGAUGGGCGACGAGCGGGGCACGGGUGAGUAACGCGUAUCCAAACUGCCCAUCGCGUGGUAAUAACCGUACGAAAGUAAGAAUAAUACCCAAUAACAACCCACGAAGACAUCUGAAUGUGAUGAAAGAUUUAUCGGUAAUGGAUGGGGAUGCGUCUGAUUAGCUGGUUGGCGGAGUAACGGCCAACCAAGGCAACGAUCAGUCUGGGUUCUGAGAGGAAGAUCCCCCGCAUGGGAACUGAGACACGGACCAAACUCCUACGGGAGGCAGCAGUGUGGUAUAUAGGGCAAUGGGGGAGAGCCUGAACCAACCAAGUAGCGUGCAGGAUGACGGUGCUAUGUGAGGUAAACUGCUUUUAUAAGGGAAUAAAGUGUUUAUCCUGAGACUUUUUGAAGGUACCUUAUGAAUAAGGACCGGCUAACUCCGUG
rnacentral:rRNA from 1 species